UACGGAGGGUGCGAGCGUUGUCCGGAAUCACUGGGCGUAAAGGGCGCGUAGGCGGCGCGGUAAGCGUGCGGUGAAAGCCCGGGGCUCAACCCCGGGUCGGCCGUGCGGACUGCCGGGCUCGAGCACUGUAGAGGCGGGUGGAAUUCCGGGUGUAGGGGUGGAAUGCGUAGAGAUCCGGGAGAACACCGGUGGCGAAGGCGGCCCGCUGGGCAGUGGCUGACGCUGAGGCGCGACAGCGUGGGGAGCAAACAGG
rnacentral:rRNA from 1 species